rnacentral:tRNA from 1 species
GCCACCAUAGCUCAGCCGGUAGAGCAGCGCAUUCGUAAUGCGCGGGUCGCAGGUUCGAUUCCUGUUGGUGGCUCCA